GACGAACGCUGGCGGCGCGCCUAACACAUGCAAGUCGAACGGAGCUGAGAGAAGCUUGCUUUUCUUAGCUUAGUGGCGAACGGGUGAGUAACGCGUGAGUAACCUGCCCUGGAGUGGGGGACAACAGUUGGAAACGACUGCUAAUACCGCAUAAGCUCACGAUCCGGCAUCGGCUUGAGGGAAAAGGAUUUAUUCGCUUCAGGAUGGACUCGCGUGCAAUUAGCUAGUUGGUGAGGUAACGGCCCACCAAGGCGACGAUUGGUAGCCGGACUGAGAGGUUGAACGGCGACAUUGGGACUGAGACACGGCCCAGACUCCUACGGGAGGCAGCAGUGGGGGAUAUUGCACAAUGGGGGAAACCCUGAUGCAGCGACGCCGCGUGGAGGAAGAAGGUUUUCGGAUUGUAAACUCCUGUCGUUAGGGACGAUAAUGACGGUACCUAAUAAGAAAGCACCGGCUAACUACGUG
rnacentral:rRNA from 1 species